GGUUCCAUAGCGUAGCGGUUAGCAUGUCUGCUUUACACACAGAAGGUCCUGGAUUUGUGCCUCAGUGGAGCCA
rnacentral:tRNA from 1 species